rnacentral:lncRNA from 1 species
GGCCAUGCGCUAAAAACUUUUCCUUCUAUUAAAAACCAACGAAAUUUAUUUUAAAGGUUUAAGCACAGGUGCGACCAUUCUGUNGGCCUUGUGCUGAAACCUUUCCCCGUUUUACAAAGACAUCGAAACACUAAAACAUCCUUUUUCAAAUAAACAAACAACCUCUCAACUAGAACUACGUAACCCUGAUUUCUCAUUUUGAGAAUACGUAGGAGCAAGGUCAAUCCUUGUCGGGCACAUAAAAAAUAAAAAAUAUUUUUGUUUCUUUAGAAUUUUAUUUUCUGGGAUAAUUAAACAUUUUGAAAAACCACAUCAAGUAUGCGCAUUUAAUUAAAGGUACUGCCUUAGGGCAGGCGUUGUAGGGUGCUAACACCUUCCCUACACGUAACCGACUCCCGAAACCAGAAUUUGGUUCUCAUAGACUAAGCCUUAUCCUUUUUAUGGUUUUUCCGUAGUUUCCCAAAAUAAACUAUGGUGGCUACUCCAACUCUUUUUUUUUUUCUCAAAAUUGUUUCCUUUAUGGAUCGUCGUCCCGUCGCGAUUCCGGUUGCGACAGGUACAAUGCUAACCAAGCUCUUAGUACAAGAUCGAGGAGGGUGAUGGACUUCAACAAAGUGGGAAGAGUACUGAUGUUGAGCUUUAGUGUGAGCCUAAGGUUAAGGGUGAGAAUGUGGUUGUGGUUAAUGAUGAGAAUGAGGAUGAUGUUAAAUUUGAGGGUGAGAGUGAGGGUAAAGGAGAAGUUCAAGCUAAGGGGGACGGGUAGUGUGAGGUUCAAUAUGAAAGGAGUGAUGAGAAUAAGGUUAAAGGAAACAUUAUGAAUGAGGGUGACAUUAAUAUUGAGGUUAAGGUAAUUAGGUUGAGUCUAAAGGAGAGUUUGGUUUUGAAGAUGCAAAUGAGUUCAUGAUAACGAUUUAAAAAACGUUAUUUUUAUACUUAAAAUUGAUAUCAAAACACACCCUUUAUGGCUUAGAAUGAGCUUAGAAUCAUGUAGACACUUAGUUUAGUCACAAGGGAGUCAAAAGUGGUUUUUAGAGGUAUUAUGCUUGUUUUUACAUUGUUUUAACAGGAUUUGAUGAGAAUUUAAGGAUGGAAGUAAAGAAGGGAGGACUUAGUCUCAAGAAAGGAUGAGAAAAGAAGCAAAAGAAGACUAAGGUCCACCGCUCAGCACCAAUUCCAGCGCUGAGCGCUAGCUUAGAGGAGGGAGUCACUGUUUCUCAUCCUGCGAUUCUGAAGACCUAGCGUUGAGCGCCAAUUUCCACCGCUGAGCACCCUACGAUUAUGAGGGAAACCGUUGAGCAGUCAAAUGGGUGCUAAGCGCCUAAAUGAUGGGUCUGGGCCGAAAUUCUGUUAUUUUUCUGUGUUAUAAAUAG